UCCCUACGGGACGCAGCAGUGGGGAAUAUUGGGCAAUGGGCGCAAGCCUGACCCAGCAACGCCGCGUGAAGGAAGAAGGCUUUCGGGUUGUAAACUUCUUUUCUCAGGGACGAAGAAAGUGACGGUACCUGAGGAAUAAGCCACGGCUAACUACGUGCCAGCAGCCGCGGUAAUACGUAGGUGGCAAGCGUUAUCCGGAUUUACUGGGUGUAAGGGCGUGUAGGCGGGACUGCAAGUCAGAUGU
rnacentral:rRNA from 1 species